GCCCGGGUAGCUCAGUCGGUAGAGCAUUGAGCAUUGGACUUUUAAUCCAAGGGUCCAGGGUUCAAGUCCCUGCUUGGAUC